CAAUAAGCGGAGGAAAAGAAACCAACAGGGAUUGCCUUAGUAACGGCGAGUGAAGCGGCAAAAGCUCAAAUUUGAAAUCUGGCACCUUCGGUGUCCGAGUUGUAAUUUGAAGAAGGUAACUUUGGAGUUGGCUCUUGUCUAUGUUCCUUGGAACAGGACGUCACAGAGGGUGAGAAUCCCGUGCGAUGAGAUGCCCAAUUCUAUGUAAAGUGCUUUCGAAGAGUCGAGUUGUUUGGGAAUGCAGCUCUAAGUGGGUGGUAAAUUCCAUCUAAAGCUAAAUAUUGGCGAGAGACCGAUAGCGAACAAGUACAGUGAUGGAAAGAUGAAAAGAACUUUGAAAAGAGAGUGAAAAAGUACGUGAAAUUGUUGAAAGGGAAGGGCUUGAGAUCAGACUUGGUAUUUUGCGAUCCUUUCCUUCUUGGUUGGGUUCCUCGCAGCUUACUGGGCCAGCAUCGGUUUGGAUGGUAGGAUAAUGACUAAGGAAUGUGGCUCUACUUCGGUGGAGUGUUAUAGCC
rnacentral:rRNA from 1 species